rnacentral:rRNA from 1 species
GACUCAGGAUGAACGCUAGCGGCAGGCUUAACACAUGCAAGUCGAGGGGUAACGGGGCGUAGCAAUACGCUGCCGACGACCGGCGCACGGGUGCGUAACGCGUAUGCAACCUACCUUGUACAGGGGGAUAACGGAGUGAAAAUUCCACUAAUAUCCCAUAGUGUUGGAGAUUCGCAUGUUUCUCCAACUAAAGCUUCGGUGGUACAAGAUGGGCAUGCGUGACAUUAGCUAGUUGGUAAGGUAACGGCUUACCAAGGCGACGAUGUCUAGGGGAGCUGAGAGGCUUAUCCCCCACACUGGUACUGAGACACGGACCAGACUCCUACGGGAGGCAGCAGUGAGGAAUAUUGGUCGAUGGACGGAAGUCUGAACCAGCCAUGCCGCGUGGAGGAAGAAGGUCCUAUGGGUUGUAAACUCCUUUUGUCCGAGAGUAAUAAGGUCCUUGCGAGGACCGAUGAGAGUAUCGGGCGAAUAAGCAUCGGCUAACUCCGUGCCAGCAGCCGC